GUAGGUGGCAAGCGUUGUCCGGAAUUAUUGGGCGUAAAGCGCGCGCAGGCGGUUCUUUAAGUCUGAUGUGAAAGCCCACGGCUCAACCGUGGAGGGUCAUUGGAAACUGGAGAACUUGAGUACAGAAGAGGAAAGCGGAAUUCCACGCGUAGCGGUGAAAUGCGUAGAGAUGUGGAGGAACACCAGUGGCGAAGGCGGCUUUCUGGUCUGUAACUGACGCUGAGGCGCGAAAGCGUGGGGAGCAAACAGGAUUAGAUACCCUGGUAGUCCACGCCGUAAACGAUGAGUGCUAAGUGUUAGGGGGUUUCCGCCCCCCUUAGUGCUGCAGCUAACGCAUUAAGCACUCCGCCUGGGAGUACGGCCGCAAGGCUG
rnacentral:rRNA from 1 species